ACGUUACACCAUGUGUAGAGAGAGAAACCACAAAAAAAAAACAGGAACGACAAGGAAGCAAAAGAAACAACUCAAACAAAAUUAAAGUGGCAACAGAUGCAAGGAACAUAAUGACAUGAUAGAGGAACAAAUCGAUAUGUAUUAUGACAGAGAGUGCUUCAGAUCAGGUGGAGAUCUCCGAACGGUCCUCAAAUCAAUACGAGGAACCUUCAACAACCCACCGAAAAAGUGAUGAAAACAAAUCAACCCACCGAAAAAGUGAUGAAAUCAGAUCUGUGAUGGUAUCUGGCUCCAUACUAGGGUUUAUGGGCAGCCGUUGCAGAUCUAGCCGUACAGUUUCAAAGUGGUUUUGUAGUUUCAAAGUGGUUUUGUGGUUUAAGAGUGGUUUUUUAUUUCAGUGUGGUCUUACGGUUUGAGAGUGGUUUAACUGUUUCAAAGUGGUUUUAGACUGGUACAGUUUGAGGAAAGUUAUUUUGUGGUUUUGGACUUCAAUGAGCAGUUUUGCAGAGUAGUUUUUUUGUUUUUUUUGAUGUGGUUUUGAUAAAAGAUGAAUACAAAUCUGACAUAAGGUUUUUUAUUUAUUAUUUAUUUAACAAAUCUGACAGAAGGCGGUUUUGACUGAUGGCAGUUUCAAUAUCUAGGGUGCUUGUGAGAAAGCGGGUUGUAUUGCAGGCCGGUAUUAUAAAGUGGUACUCAGAUUUCAAAAGAGCGGUAUUUCAGUUGAUUGUUACCAGGCCACGACAGCAUAAUCGCGUCUAGGAUGGACCCAGACCUGACUCUGCCCCUACGAAGGAGAAAUUGUAUUUUUCAGAUCUAUAGAAUUGCAUAGAAGACCUUAAAUUUAUGGGGCUACAAAGUAAUGUACAUCAUGAAUCACUUGUCUAAUAUGUACAAGCAAUAAUAGAAAGUAAAUAUACAUUCACAAUUAUGUCUUUGAUAUUAAGUUAAUGUGGGCCUAUGUUGAGAAGCGGAAAAAGUGUUUUUGAGAUGCAAACACUAUUUUCAUUUAAAUCAAAAUUUUUAAGCAGUAAAAACUUAAUAGCACCAAAUGCGCAAGGCUGCUAGCAUUUGUUUCAACUUCUCCCUUAUAAGUUUAGAAGGUAUAUUAAAAAAAACUCAAAAACUCACAAAAAGAAUAUAACCAUAAAAUCUAAAUUUUAAACAAAAAGCAAGGAGACAUUCUAUCACACUGUUGAAAAGUUAAUGUCAAAUGCUUAAGAUUAGCGACCAUCGAAGGUAGUAAUUGAGACCUCAUUUACAGAGUUGUCUUCUGUGUAAUUUGCAGAUACAUCCGACCCUGUAACGGUUCUAUCAUCAAAAACCAUAGGUGGGGGCAUCGGCAAGCUAAGACUCGAAGAAUCACUUCCC
rnacentral:lncRNA from 1 species